UACGGAGGGUGCAAGCGUUGUUCGGAAUUAUUGGGCGUAAAGCGCGUGUAGGCGGAUGAAUAAGUCAGGUGUGAAAUCCCUUGACUCAAUCAAGGAACUGCACUUGAAACUAUUUGUCUCGAGUACGAUAGGGGAGGGCGGAAUUCCCAGUGUAGAGGUGAAAUUCAUAGAUAUUGGGAGGAACACCAGUGGCGAAGGCGACCCUCUGGAUCGAUACUGACGCUGAGACGCGAAAGCGUGGGUAGCAAACAGG
rnacentral:rRNA from 1 species